ACGGGAGGCAGCAGUAAGGAAUAUUGGGCAAUGGAGGAAACUCUGACCCAGCAACGCCGCGUGAAGGAAGAAGGUCUUCGGAUUGUAAACUUCUGUUAUUAGGGAAGAAGAUAGUGACGGUACCUAAUGAGUAAGCCCCGGCUAACUACGUGCCAGCAGCCGCGGUAAUACGUAGGGGGCAAGCGUUGUCCGGAUUGACUGGGCGUAAAGGGAGCGUAGGCGGUUUGGUAAGUCAAAUGUGAAAGCCCGUAGCUUAACUACGGAAUUGCAUUUGAUACUGCUAGACUUGAGUUCAGGAGAGGUAAGUAGAAUUCCUAGUGUAGCGGUGGAAUGCGUAGAUAUUAGGAGGAAUACCAGUGGCGAAGGCGGCUUGCUGGAAUGACACUGACGCUGAGGCUCGAAAGCGUGGGGAGCAAACAGGAUUAGAUACCCUGGUA
rnacentral:rRNA from 1 species